UACGGAGGAUGCAAGCGUUGUUCGGAAUCACUGGGCGUAAAGGGAGCGUAGGCGGCGUGGUAAGUCAGAUGUGAAAUCCCGGGGCUCAACCCCGGAACUGCAUCCGAUACUGCCGUGCUUGAGGGAUGGAGAGGUAGCUGGAAUUCACGGUGUAGCAGUGAAAUGCGUGGAUAUCGUGAGGAACACUCGUGGCGAAAGCGAGCUACUGGACAUUUACUGACGCUGAGGCUCGAAGGCCAGGGUAGCGAAAGGG
rnacentral:rRNA from 1 species